GGCAAAUGGGGAUGGUCCCGGGUACUGCAAAAUACAAGAGCUUGAUUUCCCCACAUAAUUUCAAGGGCCACCACAUCUCUCAUGGUUGUCAGGCACAAUGGUCCCGGGUACUGCAAAAUACAAGAGCUUGAUUUCCCCACAUAAUUUCAAGGGCCACCACAUCUCUCAUGGUUGUCAGGCACAAUGGUUCCCACCCAGUGACUGUGAAAGCCCCAUUAGCCCCCAAAGAGCAAUUUUCCACUGUGCAGCACUUUCAUAGGCUGGCAGCUCCGCUCUCUGAAAAUUAGUAAUGAGAAAUAUGCUCUUGCACAGUCCUAAACCCACUGUUUCUAAUAAAGGGCUGUUUGCAGCAGCAUCCCUCCUGUUUCUUUGAUCUGGCACCAGAGGAAUCUGAAAACACCAGAGAGGAGGCAGGAACAGCCUGUGAUAGAUGGUGAGUCAGAGCUUCCAGCAGCCCCCGCAGCAGCACCUGCAGGCACAGCGCUGCGCCAUGGCCAGAGCCAGCUCCAGAGACGGCAUCUGAGCUGAGAUGUGCUGCUGUGGGCUGGGCUGGGCGCCUCAGGCCGGCUCAGCCCUGUCAGGUGUGGGGGAGCAGGGAUUGCUGAGGCAGAGCUCAGCACGUGACAACCUGCCAGAGACCAAAAUGGGAUCUAAUCCAGACACUGCACCCGGCCGUGCUGCACACAGUGCUGAUGGGUCUGUGUUGGGACCUCACCCUGCAGCGAGUGCUGCUCACCCUGCAGUGAGUGCUGCUCACCCCCCCCCCCCCCCCCCCCCCCCCCCCCCCCCCCCCCCCCCCCCUGCACUGAGUGCUGCUCACCCUGCACUGUGCUGCUCACCCUGCACUGAGUGCUGCUCACCCUGCAGCGAGUGCUGCUCACCCUGCAGUGAGUGCUGCUCACCUUGCACUGAGUGCUGCUCACCCUGCAGUGUGCUGCUCACCCUGCACUGAGUUUUGCUCACCCUGCAGUGAGUGCUGCUCACCCUCCACUGAGUGCUGCUCACCCUGCAGUGAGUGCUGCUCACCUUGCACUGAGUGCUGCUCAACCUGCACUGAGUGCUGUUCAACCUGCAGUGAGUUUUGCUCACCCUCCACUGCGUGCUGCUCACCUGCACUGAGUUCUGCUCACCCUGCAGUGAGUUUUCCUCACCCUGCAGCGAGUGCUGCACUUUCUCCCUGUGGCUCUGCAGAAACCCCCGUGCUGCUCACACCUCUGAGGCAAAGCAGAAACCCCCUCUCGCAUCUACUCGGAAACUUCUGCUGCUGAGUGUCACCUUGAAAUGUCACAGGCCUGCUGUCUUUUUCCACUCCCCAUGAACAGCUCUCUCAUGUGAGUGGGAACAUCCCAGCUGUUCCACCGCCGGGCUGGGGCAAGCCCCUGCUGCAGUGAGUGGCUGCCUGAGUCACCCGUGGGAUCCCAGCACCUUGUCCAUCACAGCCCCAGGACAGAGCUGCUCCUCAGCCUGCAGGGAUGGAGCACCCUGGGGUGCCAGGGGUGACUCACGGGGCUGGAACACGGCCCUGCACAGCCCCAAAGGCUCCCCAGGACCGCAGCUCUGCACCUCCAUCCUCUCCCCCUGCUGCCUGGACUCCAGACACCAGCUCCUCACCUGUCCCCAGAUCCAGAGGGAUUCUUGUGAGUCCGAGAGAUUUGUCACCGCAUGAUCCCAGCCUGUGACACAGCUCAAGGAGGUUUCCCCUCGCCUCUGUGGCUUCAGGCACAGCCUCAAAACACAUCCCUAGGGACAACUGCAGGGCAUAAACUGCAGCCAUAAAUUACCCCAGUACUGGCAGCAGGAAUAAUACAUGUACCCCAUGUGCUAAUAAACAGUCUUUUCGCACAGGAGAGCAAGGCAGAGAUUAUGGGCACAAUUUUCUGCCAGGAAAACCCCAAGUUUAACCAGUGCCUUUCCUGACUGCUGCACAGGGAAGGGCUAUGCUGGGUCUGUAGCACAGAAACAAUGAAUAGAGAAGCCAGUUUUCUGUAAUAAAUUAGUGAUAUUCAAAAACAACUCCAGCACACAAUCAACAUUUCCACAGAAGUAAAAACCCUAACUUUUUCAUGAAAGAGCUUCAUAAAUACAUAUAUAUAUGGUAUAGAUACUGUACCACACACGCGCACACACAGAUAAAUAGGUGAGAGUUCUGGGGGCUCAGCUUUGGUCCAUGCUCUUUAUGCUGCGUCCCAAGAGCACCAAACCCCCAGAGGAAAGCUCUGGCUCCUGCCCAUCCCUGGCCGUGGGACCCUGCCCCGGGCCCAUCCCCAGCCCCCCCCCCCCCCCCCCCCCCCCCCCCCCCCCCCCCCCCCCCCCCCCCCCCCCCCCCCCCCCCCCCCCCC
ensembl:lncRNA